GACGAACGCUGGCGGCGUGCUUAACACAUGCAAGUCGAACGGAAAGGCCCCUUCGGGGUACGUCGAGUGGCGAACGGGUGAGUAACACGUGGGUGAUCUGCCCUGCACUUUGGGAUAAGCCUGGGAAACUGGGUCUAAUACCGAAUAGGACCACGCGCUUCAUGGUGUGUGGUGGAAAGCUUUUGCGGUGUGGGAUGGGCCCGCGGCCUAUCAGCUUGUUGGUGGGGUAAUGGCCUACCAAGGCGACGACGGGUAGCCGGCCUGAGAGGGUGUCCGGCCACACUGGGACUGAGAUACGGCCCAGACUCCUACGGGAGGCAGCAGUGGGGAAUAUUGCACAAUGGGCGCAAGCCUGAUGCAGCGACGCCGCGU
rnacentral:rRNA from 1 species